rnacentral:rRNA from 1 species
UACAGAGGUGGCAAGCGUUGUUCGGAAUUACUGGGCGUAAAGGGCGCGUAGGCGGUCUUUUAAGUUCCGUGUGAAAUCCCUCGGCUCAACUGGGGAGGGUCACGCGAUACUGAUCGACUCGAAGGCAGGAGAGGGUAGUGGAAUUCCCGGUGUAGUGGUGAAAUGCGUAGAUAUCGGGAGGAACACCAGUGGCGAAGGCGACUACCUGGCCUGUUUCUUGACGCUGAGGCGCGAAAGCUAGGGGAGCAAACGGG